rnacentral:tmRNA from 1 species
GGAUUUGCAUCGCCAUGCAACCGUCCCUAUAUUAGGGGUGCCGGCAACGGCUAUGGUGAUAAAUUGCCAUCAUAAUAAACCCAUCGGACCCGGGGGCAGUACCCGGCGCCUCCACCAAUCUCCACCCCGAGCGGCGGAGCCUAUGGGGGCGAAACAGGAUCGACGAGGGCGUAAAAGGUGUGUUUUCGCUCGGCAUGGUACCACCGUCAUCGGACCAUCCUAAUAGUUGCAAACGACAACUAUGCUAAGGUUGCUCUCGCUGCUUAAUGCAGCGCGACGCCUGAACUAAAAGUCCCUCCCUGUAGCAGGGGAACGGCGGGGUCCGCAGGCACCUGGCAACAGAAGCCUGCACC